UCUUAUGAAUGAGCAAAGAAAGUGGUUUCUUGAGAGGGAAUAUACUCCUGGUGAUGAUACUAUGAA
rnacentral:pre_miRNA from 1 species